GUUUGAGCAGGUUCAGUGUCAGCAAGAGCCUCAGGAGCUGAGGUCCAGAAGGCAGUGGGGGCCUCUGGCCCUUGUAUACCACUGCAAGGCCUUUGGCUUUUUCUCGAGGUGCUACACUGAGAAUAGAUGCAGGAGUGCAGGAGAACCAAUUGGAAGAAGACUGAAAUAAUCCAGGACACCGAAAGCCAGAGAAGUCGGGUAUUCAGAUUCCAAAUCAUUGUGCUGAGGCAAUCCUGCCUUCGGCUGAAGAAAUAGGGAGCGGGGACAAUGCGUCAGGACGGCCUCUUUUUACUCAGCGUGAGCUUUGUUACUCACCCGAGGUGUUCUACCUUGAAUCAUGGCUUUUGUGAGGAAAACCAGGAUCAUGCAGAAGGAUGAAGUGCUAUUUCCUCAGUGGCACCUUCAGUGCUACUGACACUUUCAAGAAUAUGCGUGUCUAUGCAGCAGAAACAGACACCCUGAGAUGCUGGAUUUGAGAUAAUUCACUGAGUUUUAUCAACAUAUGUGAACACACAGAUUUUCAGCUAAUAUUAGAAGUUGAGAUGAGACUGAUUAACGUGACUCCUAGGCAGGCCUCAUCAUAUCUCCUAAAAGAAGUGCAAGCAUCCUAUUUGAAUACAUACCCUGGCCCUCCUCCUUUUUCCCUUGAGUUCCCUCUUGAGGUUAAUAAAACUUGAUGUAUGAGAUGACGUUGAGUGUCCCAGGCCCAAAGAAGUUCAGGAUGAGUACAAACAUGUGCAUACCGUGGUUAGAAGAUAAGAUUGCUUGGAGUUCUUUGCUUCAUUCUGACCACGUGCAGAUCAGCAUAGAUGGUGAGUGAGGAAAAGCUCUUCCUGUGGACACUUCUGAAUAAGUUCUAAUAACUUGACUAAAAUUUAUUCCAGAAAUAAAAUAUUCAGAGUGCUCAAUUAGAAAUAAAAAACUGGGCUCUGGCUUGAGAUGGUGUUGGUGGGUGAGGAUUCAGCAUUGCAGGUAGACUAUGGGACUGAGGGAUCAAGAUCAGGCAUUCCCAUGAGGAGAUACCAAAGUCAAGCCCAGUCAAGAGCUGUCAAUUCAAAGUCCAGGGGGAAACCAAGGUCAAGGACUAUGCACUACAGUCAGCAUCAAUGCCAGCACACAACAGAGAGUAAAGCAAGCGGAGAGCCUUCGGCUGGAAGUAUCUAAAGGCCAGAUGACUGGUGUAAUUUUCAGAAUUUUUUUGGCUGAAAAUUACAGAAAAUCCAACCCAAAAUGACUUAAUCAGGAAGAAAUUUGGUAGAUUACAAAACUGAAAAGUUCAGGGGGUUGGAUUAUUUCCAGGUAUGGUUUGAUACAGAGAUUGAACAAUGUCAGCAGAACCCAGUUUUCUCUGUCUCUUUCAG
rnacentral:lncRNA from 10 species